rnacentral:rRNA from 1 species
UGCAGAGGGUGCGAGCGUUAAUCGGAGUUACUGGGCGUAAAGGGCGUGUAGGCGGGUAGAUAAGUUAGAUGUGAAAGGCCUGGGCUUAACCUGGGUGUGUCAUCUAAUACUGUGUAUCUGGAGUGGAAUAGAGGGUAGUGGAAUUUUCGGUGUAGCGGUGAAAUGCGUAGAUAUCGGAAAGAACAUCGGUGGCGAAGGCGGCUACCUGGAUUCACACUGACGCUGAGGCGCGAAAGCGUGGGGAGCAAACAGG